CAUGCAGGUCUAAGUAUAAGCCGAAAUAAAGUGAAACCGCGAAUGGCUCAUUACAUCAGUUAUGGUUCCUUAGAUCUCCGGUAUCCUACUUGGAUAACCCUGGAAAUUCUAGAGCUAAUACAUGCAAAUGUAGCCUCAACCCUCGUGGGAGAGGCGUUUUUGUUAGACUAAAACCAAUCGGGGAGCAAUCCCUGUUCAUUUGGUGAGUCUGAACAACUUUGAGCGGAUCGCACGGUCUUGUACCGGCGACAACUCUUUCAAAUGUCUGCCUUAUCAACUUGAUGGUAGGUUAUGUGCCUACCAUGGUGAUAACGGGUAACGGAGAAUCAGGGUUCGAUACCGGAGAGGGAGCCUGAGAAACGGCUACCACAUCCAAGGAAGGCAGCAGGCACGCAAAUUACCCACUCCCGGCACGGGGAGGUAGUGACGAAAAAUAACAAUACGGGACUCAUCCGAGGCCCCGUAAUUGGAAUGAGUACACUUUAAAUCCUUUAACGAGGAUCCAUUGGAGGGCAAGUCUGGUGCCAGCAGCCGCGGUAAUUCCAGCUGCAAUAGUUCGGACGAGUGGUUCGCCUCACGGUGUUAACUACUUGGACCGGACCUAUUGCUGGUUCCUCCGAGGUGUCCUUCACUGGGUGCCCCGGGAGACCAGAGCGUUUACUUUGAAAAAAUUAGAGUGCUCAUAGCAGGCGAAUGCCUGAACAGUCGUGCAUGGAAUAAUGGAAAAUGGCCUCGGGGCUAUUUUGUUGGUUCUCGGUACUCGAGGUAAUGGUUGAAAGGGACAGACGGGGGCAUUCGUAUUGCGACGUUAGAGGUGAAAUUCUUAGAUCGGCGCAAGACGAACUACUGCGAAAGCAUUUGCCAAGAAUGUUUUCAUUAAUCAAGAACGAAAGUCAGAGGUUAGAAGGCGAUCAGAUACCGCCCUAGUUCUGACCUUAAACGAUGCCAACUGGCGAUCCGUCGGAAGGUGUUUCCAUGACCUGACGGGCAGAUUCCGGGAAACCAAAGUUUUUGCCUUCCGGGGGAAGUAUGGUUGAAAAGCUGGAACUUAACGGAAUUGACGGAAGGCACCACCGGAGUGGAGCCUGUGGCUUAAUUUGACUGGCCCCAGACACUAGAAGGAUUGACAGAUUGAGAGCUCUUUCUUGAUUUGGUGGGUGGUGGUGCAUGGCCGUUCUUAGUUGGUGGAGUGAUUUGUCUGGUUAAUUCCGAUAACGAACGAGACUCUGGCCUACUAAAUAGACGGCAGAUCAUUGUGUCUGUUACGUCUUCUUAGAGGGACAAGGCAGCUUAAAGCUGCGUGAAAUGGGGCAAUAACAGGUCUGUGAUGCCCUUAGAUGUUCUGGGCCGCACACGCGCUACACUGAAGGAGACAACGUGUACUCCUUGCUCGAAAGGGCUGGGUAACCCGUGAAUCUCCUUCGUGCUAGGGAUUGAGGUUUGCAAUUGUCCUUCAUGAACGAGGAAUUCCCAGUAAGUGCAAGUCAUAAGCUUGCGCUGACUACGUCCCUGCCCUUUGUACACACCGCCCGUCGCUACUACCGAUUGAAUGAUUUAGUGAGGACUUCGGACUGGGGCCUAUGCGACUUUCGGGUUGCGUCGGUAAUCUGGAAAGAUGUCCAAACUGUAUCAUUUAGAGGAAGUAAAAGUCGUAGCAAG
rnacentral:rRNA from 1 species